GCGGCCGGAAGUGGCGGUUGGAGGUGUGGGUGGGCGUUACAGCAGCCCUUAGUUGAGUUCUCAGACUGAAGGUGGUAUUUCUGGAAACUCCCUGCGGGGUUGGCAGAAUGCUUCUUCAGGCCGGAGUCCUGUGUGACUAUUGAAUAAAGCCGGUUACUUCUCUGUGGAGUUGGCGUUCUGAGGGAUUUAAGAAGACAUGAUUUCCACCCCACUUCCACAGCACGUCUAAAGUUUUGUCUUCUUUCUGGGUCCUUAUCUUAUGCCACAAUGCAGCAAGCUCUGGAACAAGCUUUGGAUCGUGCAGAGUAUAUCGUCGAAAGCGCUCAGCAGAGGCCUCCGAAAAGGAAAUGCCUGUCUAGUGGAAGAAAGUCUAUAUUUCAAAAACUUUAUGACUUAUAUGUUGAAGAAUGUGAAAAAGAGCCCGAGGUUAAGAAAUUAAGAAGAAAUGUGAACUUGUUAGAGAAGCUUGUUAUGCAAGAGACAUUGUCAUGUUUAGUGGUCAAUCUUUACCCAGGAAAUGAAGGGUAUUCCCUGAUGCUGAGGGGAAAAAACGGAUCAGAUUCUGAGACCAUCCGAUUGCCUUAUGAAGAAGGGGAGUUGCUUGAAUACUUAGAUGCAGAAGAAUUACCUCCUAUUUUGGUUGAUCUCCUUGAAAAAUCACAGGUUAAUAUUUUUCACUGUGGAUGUGUGAUAGCAGAAAUCCGUGACUACAGGCAGUCCAGUAAUAUGAAGUCUCCUGGUUACCAAAGUAGGCAUAUUCUCUUACGCCCAACAAUGCAGACUUUAGUCUGUGAUGUCCAUUCUAUAACAAGUGACAACCAUAAAUGGACCCAGGAAGACAAACUUUUGCUUGAGAGCCAGCUGAUUCUAGCUACAGCAGAACCACUGUGUCUUGACCCAUCUGUGGCAGUAGCAUGCACGGCCAAUAGGCUGCUCUAUAACCGGCAGAAGAUGAACACUCGCCCAAUGAAACGGUGUUUGAAGAGGUACUCCAGGUCCUCCCUGAACCGGCAGCAGGACCUCUCUCACUGUCCUCCUCCCCCUCAGCUGAGAUUACUUGAUUUCUUACAAAAGAGGAAGGAAAGGAAAGCAGGUCAGCAUUAUGACCUCAAAAUUUCCAAAGCAGGAAAUUGUGUAGACAUGUGGAAACGGAGCCCCUGUAACUUGGCUGUGCCUUCUGAAGUAGAUGUGGAGAAAUAUGCUAAAGUGGAGAAAUCGAUUAAAUCUGAUGACUCACAGCCAACCAUGUGGCCAGCUCAUGAUGUAAAAGACGAUUAUGUAUUUGAAUGUGAAGGUGGUAAUCAGUAUCAGAAAACAAAGCUGACCAUCUUGCAGUCUCUUGGUGAUCCACUUUACUACGGUAAAAUACAGCCGUGGAAAGCAGAUGAAGAAAGUGACAGCCAGAUGUCUCCAUCCCACUCCUCUGCUGAUGAUCAUUCAAACUGGUUUAUUAUUGGGUCAAAGACUGACGCAGAGAGGGUGGUUAAUCAAUACCAGGAGUUGGUCCAGAAUGAAGCCAAAUGCCCAGUGAAGAUGUCUCACAGCUCUAGUGGUUCCGCCAGUCUCAAUUCUGGAGAGGAGGGAGAACCGGAGACUUCCUCCAUUCAGUCUUCAGUUUUGGGAAAGGGAGUAAAACAUCGACCCCCACCCAUCAAACUUCCCUCAAGCUCAGGAAAUAGUUCCUCAGGUAACUAUUUCACAGCACAGCAGGCCAGCAGCUUCCUUAAAUCUCCAACUCCUCCACCGCCAUCAUCGAAGCCCAGCCUUUCUCGGAAGUCAUCUGUGGAUCUCAGUCAAGUUAGCAUGCUUUCUCCUGCUGCCCUGUCACCUGCCAGCUCAUCCCAGAGACAUGAAAGCUAAAAAGGAAACACCUCAAGAGCUUUGCUUUACUCUUUUGGUUUCAUUUUUUAAAUUUUUUUAAGUUGAUAAAACUGUGCAUACUUCAUUCACAACAGAUUUUCUAUACAUUCUACAUUUAAACAGAAGUACACAGUUACUGUUAAAGAUGCAGUAUUAUCUGUAAAGUACCUGCUUUGUUCUUUGUAAACUUCUUUGUCAGGGUAAACGUGUUAUGUUGGGAAUUAAAUAUGUGUAUCUCGGUGCCAUAAUUGAUAGCCUUGUGUAGCUUACUAAAUACAUUGACAGUUUAUCUCUGACAGUUAUAAGCAGUAAUUUUUUAAAGCAGUCUUGAAUUAGUGAAAUCACAAAUAACAAAGAUUAACUUAAAUUCAUUCUCAACCUUGUAGGCCAGACAGCGUGUAGGAGACUAACUUUCAUUGGGUGUUGUGGUAGAGUGUAAGUGUAUUUGCACGGUGACCUGUGAUCCGGAGUGGGGUUGUUAGGUGAUAUACUGCAUCCUUAAUUGUAAUUGAGUGUAGCAACCCUCGUGGAUCGUGUAGAGAGUUAACACUUGCAGUCAACUGCAUUGAAAAAAUUGGAACAAAUUUGUCAGUGCUAAGAUUCCAUUAACCUUAUUUUAAAAGGACCAGCCAUUUAUAACAAACUAGCAAUUUUUAUUUUUCUCAAUGAGCAGGAUCUGGAACUCCUAAGCCAUCUACUCCUACACCAACCCCUUCAUCGGCCCCACACCCUCCUGAUGCUCAGAACUCAGCUCCUAGUACCCCUUCAGCCACCCCAUCUCCCCAAGAUUCAGGCUUCACCCCUCAGCCCACUUUGUUAACUCAGUUUGCUCAGCAGCAAAGGGCUCUGAGCCAGGCAAUGCCUGUGACAACCAUUCCUCUUUCUACCAUGGUAACAUCUAUAACAACAGGAAGCACGGUCUCCCCGGUCAUGGCAGACUCUGCUGGGCUUAACUCCAUCAGUGUAGUGAGCUCUGCUGGUGGAGCCCAGGCUCUGAAGAGUGGCUCAAACUCCAUGCUGGGCUGUGACACUGGGGCCAUACCUCCUGCAGGACAAAGCCUGUGCAGCAGCGGCCUUCUGCCAUCAGGAGGUCUCAUAACAAAUGCACUGCCCAGUGCCAUGCAGGCAGCUCCUCAAGCAGGUAUCCCAUUUGGUUUAAAAAAUACUUCAAGUCUCAGGCCUUUAAAUCUACUCCAGGGUCCUGAACAAGGGCUAGCUGCUCAAGAACCAGCCUUAACUGCGCAGCAAGCUGCUGUUGUUAAUCUUACUGGAGUAGGAGGCUUUACGCCGUCACAGGCAGCUGUGUUGUCUCAGCUUGGCUCUGCCGAGAACAGACCAGAGCAAACCCUUCCUCAGCAGAGACUCCAGCUCUCCUCUGCCUUUCAGCAGCAGCAGCAGCAGCUACAACAGUUGCGAUUCUUGCAGCAUCAAAUGGCUAUGGCAGCAGCCGCCGCACAAACAGCCCAGCUCCAUCGUCACCGGCAGGCAGGCAGCCAGUCAAAGAGUAAAGUGAAGAGAGGCAUGCCAACCACUCCAAAAUUCUGAGCAAUUGUUUUCUCUUUUUUAUAAAACAAGACCACUGAAUGAAAAGAAUUGUAUUUCUACUUCAUUUCCCCCAAGAUGUCAGUAUUUUACAUUGAUAUAUGUGCACACUUUAUAUAGAAGCAAAACCCUGUGAUUCUUACAUGGAAACAUGGUUCAAUGUUUUCCUGUACAUACCAAUUACAGAAAUAACGUAAGAAGUACUAGACAUAUCUUUCAAAGAAUGUAAUUAGGUAUUUAUUUAGUAUAAAAGGCCUGUGCACAGUGUAACAAAUACAAUUUUUACAGCUGUUUUACAA